UCCGGGGUCGUUCAAUGGUAGGACAACGGGUUUUGAUCCCGUGUAUAGGGGUUCGAGUCCUCUCCCCGGAG
rnacentral:tRNA from 1 species